rnacentral:lncRNA from 1 species
GCCGCCAUUGCUGCUGCCUGAAGCCGGCUGGUCCGUGAGUUUUCUUUUCUGUUCAAUUUUUUCUGCCAAUACCUACUAUAUUUUGGAUUUUAUAUGUUACCCACACAAAGUUAUUUCAGAUUUGUUUGAAUUUAUCGCUGAGAUGCAACCAGAUCUGAGGAAGAACAAAAUAUAGGUAAUAUUGAAUAGAAAUCGAAGAAGGGGAAGAGAAGAAACGAUGAAGAGUUAAAAUGCAAAGGUUUCAGUGAAAUGGAUUCCCGUUUUCUCCCUUUGUUUCUUCAUUAUUGGCAUGGUUUUCACCAGCAAUACGUGUUUGUACCGAGAAUUAUUGAUUUUUUUCCCUAAAACUUUGGGGGAUUUAGCUGUAAUUUAUACCGUUUGUUUUUAUUUUUUGUCUUGCUUUGAAUUUGCAGAUUUUGUGGUUCGUUGGAAUCGAAUAAUCAGCUCAUAACUCAACAAAGAAUUAUGAGCAACAUUAUUGGUAUCUAGAAUUUUCUAUCUGGAAUUUGUUGAGCAGCUUUCCUUCUUAUUUAUUUUAAAUCUGUAUGGAUUUUACAUAAGCAUUUUAUGGUGCCUGAAACUGAAAAUUUGUGUUUUCGAAGUUAUCUGUGUCGAAUGAGGCUGUUUCUAGAAGUGUGAAGUCGAUGUUCAAAGCUUGGGAGCAGCGGCUUAACUCUUCAGAGGUACUCCAUGAUUUGCUGAGUUUUGGUUAUUGAUAUGUUUUUCCUUGAAUUGAAGAUAUGAGUUCAUAUUUAAGCGGUGAAAUAUGUUUG